rnacentral:ncRNA from 1 species
AGCCGUGUAUUCAAUAUGUAUCGUAUAAUCAGCCUAAUAUGGGGGCUAAGUUUCUACCGCGAGCCUAUAACGUCGCGACUACGAUAUGAAAACCAUUUUUU